CUGUCAGUAUAUCUGUUUAUAUUUAGGGUGCUAGGACUUUAAAGAUGGUGAACUAUGUCUGGGAAGGGCAAAGCCAGAGAAAAUUGGUGGGGUUCUCUAGUAGUCCUGGCAUGUAAAUCAGUUGUACCACUCAGGUUUAGGGGAGAAAGACAAACUGAACCACCUAGUAGCUGGUUACCUACAAAGUUUCCCUUGGGAUAGAUGGUUCUCAGCAAUGGGCACUUUUACCCAGCAAAGUGAAUGAUUAGAGGUGUUGGGCACAAAACAAUUGCAGCCUGUUCUCAAACUUUCAAUGUGCAAGGGGACUGGCUUACUAGCUUGAAGCUUUGCUGUUGAUUGUGAGUGCUCUGAGCACCACUUCUGGAAAACAGAACCAGUGCUUUGGGAUGAAACAAAUGCCAGGUCAAGGCACCCUAAACAUUAAAAUGUUGAUUAUAAUGACUGGACUUUAGGGCUUCAGAAAUGCAAAGAUAUAUUCUUGUAUAUUCUCCCAAUAUUGUAAGAGUAAAUUUACUUAUCUCUCCUUGUAGUAAGUGAUGAGUUAUUAAAUGUAAGUUGUUUUUCUUUCUGUUCAGA
rnacentral:ncRNA from 1 species